GACACUGAAAGAAAGGGACUCGACACUAAUCACCAGAACCCCCAGAAUAAGACCUCCCCAUUCUCUGUGUCCCCAACUGGCCCUGGCACCAAGAUCAAGGCUGAAGACCCUAGUGGUGACAUAGCCCCAGCAGCACCCCUCCAUCCCC